GCGUCUGCGGCAGAGUCAGUACGCGGCCGCUGCGCUGCGGGAAGAGGUGGAGGCGGCGCCCGGCGUGCCCCCUCCUUUUCGGGAGGGAUGGUUCGCCCCGCGGGAGGCACGCCGGGAGCGGCACGGCGUCCGCGGCUGCUGAGGGAGCUGCGGUGUGAGGGUGUUAUUAUUGGUGCUGCUUGUCUUCGAAAUCGGGCACUUAUCUCUAAUUCCUGGUGUGUUUUGCUGGAAGUUUGGGAUCUCUCUGUGUGGUGAAGGCCUCUGAGCUUGAGAAAGGCAUGUGGGAAGAGGCUGCCAAGUGCUGAUUGCAGAGCUGAGAAAAUACAACUAAUCUUCAGUGAAGUGAUGAAACUCCUCCAGGGUGGCCAUAAUGCUCUUGAAAGUAAUAACAUCUGAAAGUUUCAUCAACGAAAUGUGAGAAUCUGCUUGAGCAACACAGAUGCAAUGAAUCCGUUACCCCUUCUGCUGGUAGGAAGUGAGCCUGUGAAAUCCAUCCACACCUGCUGCACCCCAGGCACUGUGGGUAAGGAAGAAUUGCUAGAACUAGCCUGAGAGCAGUGCCCCUCUAUUGAAACACUCCUGCCUAAGAAACAAAAAAACUGUUUAAAAGAUGGACUACUAAGCCUCCAUGUAACAAUACAAAGUGCAUUUAACUGCAUUGUGUCAGUGUCUGGUAAUGUUUAUAUAGACAAAAAAAAUAAAGAUCUAUGUUUCUCUUCUCAGAA